CUUAUACUCCCUCUGUCCUAAAAUUCUUGUUUUAGGUUUGUCUAAAAUGAAUGUAUCUAAAUACUAAAACGUGACUAGAUACAAUUAUAUCUAGACAAAUCUAAGAGAAUAAUUUUAGGACAGAGGGAAUAUUUA
rfam:Hordeum vulgare subsp. vulgare, WGS project CAJW01000000 data, contig: morex_contig_41102